UACGGAGGGUGCAAGCGUUAUCCGGAUUUACUGGGUUUAAAGGGUGCGCAGGCGGAUAUGUAAGUCAGUGGUGAAAUCUCUGGGCUUAACCCGGAAAUUGCCAUUGAUACUAUAUAUCUUGAAUGCUGUGGAGGUAAGCGGAAUAUGUCAUGUAGCGGUGAAAUGCUUAGAGAUGACAUAGAACACCUAUUGCGAAGGCAGCUUACUACGCAGAUAUUGACGCUCAUGCGAACGACGUGGGGAUCAAACAGG
rnacentral:rRNA from 1 species